GAUGAACGCUGGCGGCGUGCCUAACACAUGCAAGUCGAGCGAAGCGCUUAAAUUAGAUUUCUUCGGAAUGACGAUUUUUGUGACUGAGCGGCGGACGGGUGAGUAACGCGUGGGUAACCUGCCUCAUACAGGGGGAAAACAGUUAGAAAUGACUGCUAAUACCGCAUAAGACCCCAGCUUCGCAUGAAGCGGUGGUAAAAAAUCCGGUGGUAUGAGAUGGACCCGCGUCUGAUUAGAUAGUUGGUAAGGUAACGGCUUACCAAGGCGACGAUCAGUAGCCGACCUGAGAGGGUGACCCGCCACACUGGGACUGAGACGCGGCCCAGACUCCUACGGGAGGCAGCAGUGGGGAAUAUUGCACAAUGGGGGAAACCCUGAUGCAGCGACGCCGCGUGAAGGAUGAAGUAGUUCGGUAUGUAAACUUCUAUCAGCAGGGAAGAAAGUGACGGUACCUGACGAAGAAGCCCCGGCUAACUACGUG
rnacentral:rRNA from 1 species